rnacentral:sRNA from 1 species
AUUAAUAUUUUAAUUAAGACAGAUAUAUUAAUUGUUAUUUAAUAGUUAAACUAAUAAUAGGAUAACAGCUGUCCAAAUUGAAUGAGAAUAGUUUCUCAAAGUUUCUCCUCCAAGAAACUUAAUUCUCCUUCUCUCCUACUUUUUCUUCCUUCUCUCUUACUUUUUCCUUUUUUAUUAUAUUUUUUUUAUUGGGUAUCUCAUUGAAAGACUACUGAUGAAGAUGCUCUUACAUAUCUAAUGGCGUCCGUUUAGAAUUACAUGGGCUAGAAUAUUUGUGCCUUUUGAAAGACCUAAUUAUAUAUAAGGAUUUUUGCUUCAAAUC